UACGUAGGGUGCAAGCGUUAAUCGGAAUUACUGGGCGUAAAGCGUGCGCAGGCGGUUCUAUAAGACAGGUGUGAAAUCCCCGGGCUUAACCUGGGAAUUGCAUUUGUGACUGUAGGACUAGAGUGUGUCAGAGGGGGGUGGAAUUCCACGUGUAGCAGUGAAAUGCGUAGAUAUGUGGAGGAACACCAAUGGCGAAGGCAGCCCCCUGGGAUAACACUGACGCUCAUGCACGAAAGCGUGGGGAGCAAAC
rnacentral:rRNA from 1 species